GAUGAACGCUGGCGGCGUGCUUAACACAUGCAAGUCGAACGAUGAAGCCCAGCUUGCUGGGUGGAUUAGUGGCGAACGGGUGAGUAACACGUGAGUAACCUGCCCUUAACUCUGGGAUAAGCCUGGGAAACUGGGUCUAAUACCGGAUAGGAGCGUCCACCGCAUGGUGGGUGUUGGAAAGAUUUAUCGGUUUUGGAUGGACUCGCGGCCUAUCAGCUUGUUGGUGAGGUAAUGGCUCACCAAGGCGACGACGGGUAGCCGGCCUGAGAGGGUGACCGGCCACACUGGGACUGAGACACGGCCCAGACUCCUACGGGAGGCAGCAGUGGGAAAUAUUGCACAAUGGGCGCAAGCCUGAUGCAGCGACGCCGCGUGAGGGAUGACGGCCUUCGGGUUGUAAACCUCUUUCAGUAGGGAAGAAGCGAAAGUGACGGUACCUGCAGAAGAAGCACCGGCUAACUACGUG
rnacentral:rRNA from 1 species